AAUAGAGUACCUAAAAUUUAAAGGAUUAUCUUGAUAGGAUAAAUCAUGUGUAAUUAACACCUCUAUUA
rnacentral:tRNA from 1 species